ensembl:lncRNA
GAAUGAUAUCAGUCAGGUAGAUGGACUGGAUGGUUUGCGGAGACUGAAUGAGUUGAAUUGAAAUCGAAUUAAAUCUUUGAGUGAGAACUCAUUCUGUGGACAGAGAGUUCUGCUGUAUUUGCACCUGGCAGAGAAUCGCAAUCGUGAACUGAACCUACUUCAGCCUUUCACUAAACUCCAGAGACAUUAACAAAAUACAGGUGGCACGGCGAUUACUGCACAGACAAGCAGUGGUACUGCAUUUGUCUACACUGCAGGUUCUGGAUGGCAUGACAGUCACCCUUGAAGAAAGAACUAGAGCAGAGCUUUUAAAUAAUGAAGCACAGGGUUCUGCAGUAGUUUAGGAGGUGAAAUGACUUUACCCAGUUUGGUACCAUUGGUGACCCGACCAGCUCCUUUAAGAGAUUUUGAGAUAAGAAGCAAAAGGCAGUUGUCUCUCUCUUGCGUGGGGUUCACAGUGACAUCAACUUCAGGCAGAUCCAGCCACUACAUGACAGCCCUGCAGCAGAUCGGAUAUAGAGUUCUCUCCACUUUCCCUGACGCCGAUCCUGAGACCAGGUAGCAGUGUCACAGUGUACCCAGACCUUCUCCUCCUCUCUAAAGCAGAGUCAUAGACGCACUGUGUGAGUCGUGUAUUUUAGCUUUGGUCUUGUGUGUUGUUGUUCAUCUUUGGAUCUUAAAUAGGACAUCAAUGAACAGUUUGUUUAUUUAUUUGGAAUUGUGUCAGUGUCAAAGAUAUUACAUGUAUAUUUUCUAUUAAAUUCUAUUCAACUAUUCGAGAGUGGUGUCCUUUAUCUUAAGUCUUUGUUCAUGUAUCAUUUUCACUCUCUGUGAGGUUUGGUUUUAUUUUUAAUUGUAUUUGAUAGUUAUGAAGUCACUUCAAAUAUAAAAGUUCAUAAAAAACAUAUGUCAAAAACAUUUUUCUUGAAAACUGUAGUUGCU